rnacentral:rRNA from 1 species
UCGGAGUGCUUGCACUCUGUGAAACAAGAUACAGGCUAGCGGCGGACGGGUGAGUAACACGUGGGUAACCUGCCCAAGAGAUCGGGAUAACACCUGGAAACAGAUGCUAAUACCGGAUAACAACAGAUGAUGCCUAUCAACUGUUUAAAAGAUGGUUCUGCUAUCACUCUUGGAUGGACCUGCGGUGCAUUAGCUAGUUGGUAGGGUAACGGCCUACCAAGGCGAUGAUGCAUAGCCGAGUUGGGAGACUGAUCGGCCACAUUGGGACUGAGACACGGCCCAAACUCCUACGGGAGGCAGCAGUAGGGAAUCUUCCACAAUGGACGCAAGUCUGAUGGAGCAACGCCGCGUGAGUGAAGAAGGGUUUCGGCUCGUAAAGCUCUGUUGUUGGUGAAGAAGGACGGGGGUAGUAACUGACCUUUGUUUGACGGUAAUCAAUUAGAAAGUCACGGCUAACUACGUGCCAGCAGCCGCGGUAAUACGUAGGUGGCAAGCGUUGUCCGGAUUUAUCGGGCGUAAAGCGAGUGCAGGCGGUUCGAUAAGUCUGAUGUGAAAGCCUUCGGCUCAACCGGAGAAUUGCAUCAGAAACUGUCGAGCUUGAGUACAGAAGAGGAGAGUGGAACUCCAUGUGUAGCGG